rnacentral:rRNA from 1 species
UACGAAGGGGGGCUAGCGUUGCUCGGAAUCACUGGGCGUAAAGGGCGCGUAGGCGGCCGGCCAAGUCGGGGGUGAAAGCCUGUGGCUCAACCACAGAAUGGCCCUCGAUACUGGACGGCUCGAGACCGGAAGAGGUUGGUGGAAUUGCGAGUGUAGAGGUGAAAAUCGUAGAUAUCGCAAGAACACCGGUGGCGAAGGCGGCCAACUGGUCCGGAUCUGACG